AGAGUUUGAUCCUGGCUCAGGAUGAACGCUGGCGGCGUGCCUAAUACAUGCAAGUCGAACGCUUUGUGGUUCAACUGAUUUGAAGAGCUUGCUCAGAUAUGACGAUGGACAUUGCAAAGAGUGGCGAACGGGUGAGUAACACGUGGGAAACCUACCUCUUAGCAGGGGAUAACAUUUGGAAACAGAUGCUAAUACCGUAUAACAAUGACAACCGCAUGGUUGUUAUUUAAAAGAUGGUUCUGCUAUCACUAAGAGAUGGUCCCGCGGUGCAUUAGCUAGUUGGUAAGGUAAUGGCUUACCAAGGCGAUGAUGCAUAGCCGAGUUGAGAGACUGAUCGGCCACAAUGGGACUGAGACACGGCCCAUACUCCUACGGGAGGCAGCAGUAGGGAAUCUUCCACAAUGGGCGAAAGCCUGAUGGAGCAACGCCGCGUGUGUGAUGAAGGGUUUCGGCUCGUAAAACACUGUUGUAAGAGAAGAAUGACAUUGAGAGUAACUGUUCAAUGUGUGACGGUAUCUUACCAGAAAGGAACGGCUAAAUACGUGCCAGCAGCCGCGGUAAU
rnacentral:rRNA from 1 species